rnacentral:rRNA from 1 species
UACGUAGGGUGCAAGCGUUGUCCGGAAUUAUUGGGCGUAAAGAGCUCGUAGGCGGUUUGUCGCGUCUGCUGUGAAAACUCGGGGCUUAACUCCGGGCCUGCAGUGGGUACGGGCAGACUAGAGUGCGGUAGGGGAGACUGGAAUUCCUGGUGUAGCGGUGAAAUGCGCAGAUAUCAGGAGGAACACCGGUGGCGAAGGCGGCUACCUGGACAGAAACUGACGCUGAGGCGCGAAAGCGUGGGGAGCGAACAGG